rnacentral:lncRNA from 1 species
UGGGCGAUAUUUUCCUACUUCUUUUGAAUGUCUGGGAACUUUUAGGUUGGAUGUUCAACAUGGCAAACUUUACAGGGCUGUUUGCUGGACUCACAUUCCUUUCAGUAGUGUGGGGUUUUCUUCCAGGAUGUUUGGGCUCAGUUUGAUUCUUCCGAGGCUUGCUUUAAGACUUGUUAUGGUGGGCACAGAGCAGCUUUUACUCUAAGGAUAAUUCUCCCCAUGACUGACCCUUCUGAUUCCCACUGGGCACUCUCUCUGAUGCCUGUUGUGUUCAGUUUUUCAAAUGUGUGGAAUUUGCCACAACUCUGAGCCUCUUUGGGAUCUCCAAGAAGUUUUGACCUGCUGUUUCGGGACGGGGGGCGGGGGGGGGGGGGGGGGUUGAGUCUUAUGGAGUUUUGAUAUGCAGAAAUUCAGCAGUUUUGGUAUGCAGAAACUCAGCUGGGGGUUCAUGAGGACCCUCUGGAGAUCUCCAGAGUUCUCUCUCUCUGCAGAACCCCUUCUUCUCCAGGCCUCCAUCCUGCAAAUUCCUAGUACUCUGGACUCCUUUGUACUCUGCUCUUUCUUUACAACUCAGCAAGAUUACCCCAGUUUGGGUAACCCCUCUGUGCUGCAGUCUGAAAAAUGUUUCCAGGCAGGACGUUGGGGGCAAUUGUAAGGCUCUUCUCCUUUCUUUCCUGUCUCUCAAAGUUCAUAGGCUUGUGCUGCUUCUUGUGCAAAAACUGAAAACAAUUACUGCAUCUAUUUUGUGCAGUUUUCCAUUUGUUUUUGGAGAGAAGGCGACUCCUGUAGCAGUUGAUCCUUAUUCUCAUUCUUUUUAAAUUCCUGCAUAAUACUCCCCAUUUAUUUCCUUUCUCCUCAUGAUGACUAUAUCCGUCCAGAGACGGAAACCACACAGUAAUUUCAAUUUCAACUAAGAAAGCUAAAUAAAGAGAAUUAGUAAGUAGGAACAAGAGAUUAACUAAGGAAAAUGCAGAAAGCUCUACAUAUAUAGAAAUAGCAUAUACAGGGAGAAGCCACACCUCUAAGGCUGAGGCAAAGCAACCAAGGAAGAAACAAACUUGCAAGAGUCUCUCCUUUCCAAGGCUGAAAUCCAAAACUUGUUGAAGUGGUGGCCAUCACCAACUGGGUGGUAGAGAAAUCCAAUCUGCUGCAGGCCAGAUGUGACAAUUAGAGAAUCACUAGAUGCUGGUGAAAUCGGCCACAAAGUCUCCAGAGAAGGUUCUGGGAGGUUUACUGAUCAUCGCUGAGAAUCUGCCAGCAGAAUAUACCAGGAAGCCACCCUGUGGGGGUGCUGGUGGUAUAACGCAAGGCAAACUGUUCCAUGGAAGGGAUGCCAUUGAAACUCAAUGGAAAAGUCCAGAGAAAGGCCACUGAAACUCAACAGGGCUGACCACCACUGGAUAUGCCCCAUGUGCCACUGGCAGCCACAUAGUAGAACACGGAGAACAAAGGCAUGCUGGGACCAGGAAGAGAAGUUUCUUCCUCCUACCGUAUCUCCCCAAGGCCCUCUAUUGGUAAAACUUAACAUCAUGCCCACUAGCAAGGAAAAAAAUGUUCACAAGGUCCAGCUCCAUUAUAGCAGAGCCAGCAGUGCAUGGUGGAUUCAGAGUUGAAGGACAAUGAAUUCCUAAAUGGCACACUGUGCAUUUAGGUUUUCUCCAACUUUUUUUUUUUUUUUUUACCACCAUAAACAAUGCUGUGAUGGUUAAACCAAAUUUCUUAGACAAUUUCUUUUGAGUAUUGCCAGGUUUUUACUUGUUAACCAGUAAAGCAGCAAGAUGACAAAAAGGGUAUGCCAGUUCAGAUAGAGCACGAAAAUGGAGGCUAUGUAAAAUGCCUACAGAAAAAGAACUAGCAUAAGAAAAGAAAGAUCAUAAUUUCAUUUUCAUAAGGACAAAGAAUAUCUUUCACAAGACAAAGGUUACUGUGGAAGGGUCGCCUGAGAGGCAGAUACGCUGUCAAUGAACAACAACAUAAGCUCCAUACAUCUAAGUAAAGGAUACUGGUUUUUGAUGCAAACAUUUUUAAAAUUUUCACGAGAUCCAAUUUGCUUAUUUUUUCUUUUGUUGUCUCUGCCUUGGUGUCAUAUCCAAGAAAUCACUGCCAAAUCCAAUGUCGUGAAGUUUUUUCUUAUGUUUUCCGCCAAAAGUUUUAUUGCUUUUUUAAAAAAUUUAAAAGAUUUUAUUUAUUCAUGAGAGACAUAGAGAGAGAGGCAGAGACCUAGGCAGAGGGAGAAGCAGGCUCCUCGCAGGGAGUCUGAUGUGGGACUUGAUUCCAGAACCGCAGGAUCUCACCCUGAGACAAAGGCAGAUGCUCAACUGAUGAGCCACCCAGGUAUCCCUAACAGCUUAAUUGUUUUAGGUCUUACAUUUAGGUCUCUGAUCCAUUUUUGAGUUAAUUUUUGUAAUAUGGUGUAUUAGAUAAGAGUCCAAAUCAUUCUUGCGUAUGGAUGUCCAGUUUUCCCAGCAGCAUUUGUUGAAAAGACUGUCCCUUCCCCCAUUGAAUGGUCUUGGCACUCCUGUCAAAAAUCAUUUGACCAUGUAUGCAAGGAUUUAUUUUUGGGCUAUCUAUUCUAUUCUACGGGUGAGGUACUUAGGUAAAAAAUCAUAGAUAGACAGAAAAUAGAAUGGUGAGUUGCCACAGGCUGGGAGGAAGGAAGAGCAGGAAGACAUUAUUUAGUAAAUAUAAAGAGUUUCACUUUUAGAAGAUGAAGAGGAUUUUGGAGAUGGGUGGUAAAGAUGGCUGGGCUACAUUAUGAAUGUAUUUAAUACCAGUGAACUGUGUACUUAAAAAUGCUUAUGAAGGUAAAUUGUAGAUUAUGUGUAUUUUACCCCAAUAAAAAAUGAGGGAAAAAGGGAAAAGAAAAGUGAUGAGGAUACAUGUCUCUGAUAUUUAGAAUACUAGGGUUUCAUCCCUGAACAAUAUGUCUGAUAGAACCAAUAACUAUGAAAACAAAGAGUGUAAACAGCUACCAGAAGAGCACCAAAAAAAAAAAAAAUUCAUAUUUUAAGCAAGCCAUUCUUGUGACUUUUCACAAGCUGCAAAGAUGCAGAAUAUACACUUUUCCAUUUCUUAGUUUGGGGAUCUUUUGUGUCCUUUAAAUAUCAUUAACAUCUUUGUACCUGUGUCUUGGGUAUUUUUAUUUCAGGAAGACAAGUUUCCUAAGGUAGGUUUAUAGAACAAAAGAUAUGUCAGAUUACUUUGCCUAAAGUUUGUAGCAAAUAAUGCUCCCACUGACUACAUUUGAGUUUCUUAAACCAGGGUACAGGGAUGGGCUUCAGUGGAAAACAAAGAGUGUAAACAGCUACCAGAAGAGCACCAAAAAAAAAAAAAUUUCAUAUUUUAAGCAAGCCAUUCUUGUGACUUUUCACAAGCUGCAAACAAAGAUGCAGAAUAUACACUUUUCCAUUUCUUAGUUUGGGGAUCUUUUGUGUCCUUUAAAUAUCAUUAACAUCUUUGUACCUGUGUCUUGGGUAUUUUUAUUUCAGGAAGACAAGUUUCCUAAGGUAGGUUUAUAGAACAAAAGAUAUGUCAGAUUACUUUGCCUAAAGUUUGUAGCAAAUAAUGCUCCCACUGACUACAUUUGAGUUUCUUAAAUCAGGGUAUAGGGAUGGGCUUCAGUGGAUCCGUGAACACUCCUGAAAUUGGACACAAAAUGGACUGCGUAUGUUGGCAUGUACAUUUUUCUGGGACAGGUCUGUAUCUUCCAAACCGAAACUCAGAUAAGGCCGAGAAUUAGUACACUAUGCCAUCGUCUCCCUAUGGCUUUGGUCAUCCUACACUCUCAUUCAUUCAGCAAACUUACCAAAUAUUAGAAGAAUGAAGACAUGCAAUAAAUUCAAGCAUGCUAGGCACUAGGAAUACAGAGAUACGUGAGAUUUGACAGCUAUCUGCCAGGACCUUACAGUCUUUGGGGACAGAAGGAGAGGAAGAGAUGGAAGUAGCUGGUAUAAUAAAAUAUCUCAGGCAGGGCAUUAAGGCAUGAAGCAAGGAAGACAUAAUGUGUUUAGGGAAAAGUGAAUGUUUCAGCCUGGUUAGAUUACAGGAUGUAAUAGCGCCAAUUUCUGGAUGUGUGUGGGGGUUGUAGCAAGUCAGCAAGUGUUUGUACUAAACAAUCUUCUUCUUAUGAUGAAGUACGAAUUAAUCACAAAAUUUCAUCACAACUUCACAUACACAGAGGCAGCAACAUGCAUAGAUUAAGAACAUGGUCUCUAACACCACCUUCUGCAAUAACUUAACCUUUCUGAAUCCCGGUUUCCCUUUUUGUAAAAUGGAGCCAAUUAUACCAUACAUCCUCUAUUUUAAGGUGCAUACUUUUUCACAUUUUAGCUCCUUUCAAAUAGGUGUGUUAAAAUUGGUAUUUAUAUUCAAUUUUGUAAUCUUUUCUCUCCCAAAACAUUGUCAAUAACACGUCUUACUGAACAGGUUCUCAGAAAUAAGGAAAUAGGUAAUACAACCCUAAACCUCAGUUUCCUCACCAGUAUAACUGAGAUACUUUUAUCUAGGUCAUAGGGUUCUGUGAAGAUUAACUGUGAUAAAGCACAUAAAACUCUUAGCAAUGUACCUUCCCCACAGGAAAUGAGGGCUACACACAUACACAAACACAUACACACACACACAUGCACAAAGGGGCAUAAAAUGUUCACUGUGGCUGUAAAUCAUUCAUGGUAACUAAACCAGAAGACAAUGAGCUGUUUGGAUGGAAGGCAUCCUCCAUAAAAGGUUCUUUCAUAAAAGAUUGAAGAACCUUGCUCAGGCCUCACUUCUAAUUUGGUAUCUUUUCCUUGAUUAAUGGAUGUCUGACAGGGUCUGUGAGAUCUUAGAGGCCCUGGAAGUCCCAUUGUUUCCAAGUUUGUUAGAUCUGCCUGGGGGUCUCUUUAGAGGUCUCUUAUCUUUCCAUCUUCCCCCUCCUACCUUCUCUCCUGGCUUCCUCUCUUGCCCCAUACACUCUCUUCACAAUGCAGCAGUCAGACUUAUUCUUUUAAAAGUCAGUCACAUCACUGCUCUAUCCAAAACUCUCCAGUCCCUUCCUCUUUCUCUCAGAUACAAGCCUAAGAAAGAAAAAAGUUCCCUGACAUCUGGGAACUGGUCUGACCCAGCUACAAAGGUCUCAGUGUUGUUAGAGGUUGACCUGGCACUCAGAGCAAGGCUGGGUUACUCUCUUGUCAGAUAAAACAAUGUCACAGAACACAAACAGCAGACAGGGUCCCUCAGACCAUGAUAAAAUGAGACCAAAUAAAGCCACUUCAUAAUUUGUCUAAGCAGAGGCAAACCGAGGUCACUGUGCAGCCCAUGAAAUGCCAAAUAUCCUCUUCCCUCUAUUAUGAGUGAUUGCUACUUCUUUACCAAUUACUGCUUUAUCCUUGCUCAAGUGUGCCCAUUUUGUAGAUAUUUAUUGAGAUAUCCAAUCACAGAACUGUCUCUGCUUUCUGACAGCACCCAAUCCAAAGUGAAGGUUCACUUCAUUAAACCCUCCCCAAAGGGUCACCCAAAGCCCCAAUCCUGUAAUAGGUCUUACUAACAUUCUCGAACUGAGCAGGCCCAAUGGUUCUCCCCGGUAUCUGUUCCCUCGCUGCAAAGGGUAAUCAACCCAACCUGCUUAAGUGUGGGUGUGUUUCUGAUGCUCUUCUGGCUGGAGGCUACCGACAAGCCAAAGUCACAAAUGUCUACCAAGGCCCCACAGCGGUUCUUAGACUUCACUGCGCAUUAGAUUCAUCCGGUUUGUAAAAAAAGGACUGCUUGAACUCUACUCUUCCC